rnacentral:rRNA from 1 species
UGCAAGUCGAACGAUGAACUGGCGCUUGCGUUGGGGAUUAGUGGCGAACGGGUGAGUAACACGUGAGUAACCUGCCCUUAACUUCGGGAUAAGCCUUGGAAACGGGGUCUAAUACUGGAUAUUGACAUUUCAUCGCAUGGUGGUUUGUUGAAAGAUUUAUUGGUUUUGGAUGGACUCGCGGCCUAUCAGCUUGUUGGUGAGGUAAUGGCUCACCAAGGCGACGACGGGUAGCCGGCCUGAGAGGGUGACCGGCCACACUGGGACUGAGACACGGCCCAGACUCCUACGGGAGGCAGCAGUGGGGAAUAUUGCACAAUGGGCGCAAGCCUGAUGCAGCGACGCCGCGUGAGGGAUGACGGCCUUCGGGUUGUAAACCUCUUUCAGUAGGGAACAAGGCCAGCAUUUAAUGUUGGUUGAGGGUACUUGCAGAAGAAGCGCCGGCUAACUACGUGCCAGCAGCCGCGGUAAUACGUAGGGCGCAAGCGUUAUCCGGAAUUAUUGGGCGUAAAGAGCUCGUAGGCGGUUUGUCGCGUCUGCCGUGAAAGUCCGGGGCUCAACCCCGGAUCUGCGGUGGGUACGGGCAGACUAGAGUGAUGUAGGGGAGACUGGAAUUCCUGGUGUAGCGGUGAAAUGCGCAGAUAUCAGGAGGAACACCGAUGGCGAAGGCAGGUCUCUGGGCAUUAACUGACGCUGAGGAGCGAAAGCAUGGGGAGCGAACAGGAUUAGAUACCCUGGUAGUCCAUGCCGUAAACGUUGGGCACUAGGUGUGGGGGACAUUCCACGUUUUCCGCGCCGUAGCUAACGCAUUAAGUGCCCCGCCUGGGGAGUACGGCCGCAAGGCUAAAACUCAAAGGAAUUGACGGGGGCCCGCACAAGCGGCGGAGCAUGCGGAUUAAUUCGAUGCAACGCGAAGAACCUUACCAAGGCUUGACAUGAACUGGAAACGCUUGGAAACAAGUGCCCCGCUUGCGGUCGGUUUACAGGUGGUGCAUGGUUGUCGUCAGCUCGUGUCGUGAGAUGUUGGGUUAAGUCCCGCAACGAGCGCAACCCUCGUUCUAUGUUGCCAGCACGUGAUGGUGGGGACUCAUAGGAGACUGCCGGGGUCAACUCGGAGGAAGGUGAGGACGACGUCAAAUCAUCAUGCCCCUUAUGUCUUGGGCUUCACGCAUGCUACAAUGGCCGGUACAAUGGGUUGCGAUACUGUGAGGUGGAGCUAAUCCCAAAAAGCCGGUCUCAGUUCGGAUUGGGGUCUGCAACUCGACCCCAUGAAGUCGGAGUCGCUAG